UGUUGAACAGCAGGUUAAAGAGGAAACAGACCACAGAGCCAUGCAUAUGCCAAUCUAGUGUUAUGACAGAAAGGGAAAACUGAACCAGAAGAUGCUGUCAUGAGGAAGGAGAUUAUGGAAAACAAUGAUUAUAGUCAACUGGAAUGAGCAAGAGGAGUCCUGUGUCCACAACGACUGCUCAGAAGUCACUUUGUGUGGAGUCAAAUGUAGAAAUCAUAAUCGAGAAUGAAGCAUUCAUCUAUGACCAGAAAGUACCAUGUAUGCUGCCAAGCAGGAAAGAAAUCAACAGUGUGAUUCAGCUGUGACACCUUUGGACUAUGACAAUGACCAGCAUGGCGAGAUACCUAUAAAGAUUUAAAACAUGACGAAGAGUUUGGAGGACAGUGAUAAUCUAUGGACCCAUACAGAUCUGUCAAGAGGAAGCAGUUGCUCCUGUGCUGACAAUGAGGACAUGGACUGUAUCCUCCCAUCUCUGAGCAGUGUCAAUGGCAACUUGACAGUUAUCGAAAGGCUUCAGCCUUGUACUUGGCUGUGUUUAUGUUCAGCCAUCUUAAAACCUGGGCAUUUAUAGCACAUUUCAAUAGCAGCAGCUCUAAGAAUGCGAUAGUAACUGUUUAACCUGGCAGAGCCUUGGGUACGCCUGGUGUGAUAUUGCAAAUGGCACCUUCAACGUCAUAUAGAGCUAAUUAAAGACUAGGUGAUACUUGGGAUUCUUACAGGAACAAACAUGAGAAUCCUAGAGUUUAUAAUUUCAGAAUAAUCAGUAGGGUGUAUAAUUCACUGUCAAUUUAUAGUACCCUGUGCCCUAGUUUUCUUUCUCCUUUCCUAGUUUUAGGAAAGAAUUUUCAAAGAAAAUCUUUUGCUUAUUGCUGACACCAUAAAUUCAUGUAUGCCUAUAAACAUAAAAAAAUGUACUUCAAGAAGAGGUUGGGAUUAUCUUAAAAAUGGGUGCUAUGUGAAGAAACACAAGAUACAUGAGGUUAAAGGUACAGUGUGAGAGAAAACCAGACUGGUGGUAAAGGCAGACACACUAGGAGAUAUAUGUAAAGAAUAUAUGAGAGACAAAGUGUAUCAACCUGUGGGAGGAAGAAAAGGAAGCUUUCACAGAGGAAGUGGCAUUUGUUACAGAGCUAGCUUGAAAGAUACAUAUGUGCUUGCCAGACUGACAGAAUUCUCAGUAUGUUAAAACAUGCGAGUCCCGAUAUUGAACCCUGCUGGGAAAGUAUAAGAAAGGCUGUGUGACUUGGAGGGUAGAAGCAGCUUAAGAGUUUUAAAUUCCACUUGUUUUCUCCAGUUGUGUUUGAUGGUUAUAAGACAGAUAAUACAAUCAGAAAACCCACUUUGAAAUAGGGAACGUAUUAGACAGUCUUUCUUUUCGGAGAAGACAUUAGUGAAAUAUUAUUUAUCAAGCAUACAAGAGGAGGGCUGAGGUGACAAGUUAGUGGGUAAAUGCUUGCCUUGCAAGUAUGAGGUCCUGAUUUUGAUUUCUCAGAUCUCAGGCUAAAGCAGACAGACAGACAGACAAACAAAAUUAGCAAAACCAGAAAACAGCUAAGUUCGGUGGCAUAUACUUGAAAUACCAGCACUGGGCAAGUGCAGACACAAGGAACUCUAGGGCUUGCUGGUCUACCUUACUUGGCAAGUCCCAAGCCAGUGGACAAUUUAUAAGUCCUCUUAAGUGUUCAAAUGAAGGGGAGAGUGGCACACAUGUUACUUUAAAUCAAAAGUAUAAAUGGUAGAGUGAAGAAGAUAAACUAAAAGCUGAGAUAAGCUGAAAGCUAGGUUCUUGUAAGAAUCAUGUCUACUGUUUGAGCUCACACACACACAAAAUGUUCCAGGAAGCAAGACAGGGGCAAAGGGGAAAUAAAACAGCCUCAUCGCUGACACGAAUGAUACAGUGGUCUGCAUUUGAAGGCCAGACGAAUCCAGUAUUGUCUUAAGGUAAUUUUUUGGGUUGUUGUUGAAAAUAGAUUUUUUUCAUAUUAUAUAUUCUGUUCAUGAUUUUUACCUCCGCUGACUGAUUCUCCCAGCCUUCCCACCCAUCCUAAUUAACACCCUUACUAAAUAGAAAACAAGAAGGCAACUAAAAAGUAAUACAAAACAAAACCCACAGAUAAACCAGAAUAGUAUAAAAUAAGCAAACAAAAAUAAGAGACAAAGAUAAAGCUAAAGAAAUACAUACAGCUGUGAAGACAUGGGUUUAUGCAUGUGUGUGGGUCUGCACAUGUCACAGUAUGUGGAGGUCAGCAAGUCGCCCCAUGUGCCAUAUACUAACAGCUGUGAGGAUAUGAGGACAAUAUAGUUGUAUGGAAAUUUCCAGUGGAGUAUAGCUCUUUUACUGUUUUGGAGUUGAAAGCCCCUUCAGCUCUUUCAAUCCUUUCUCUAAUUCCUCCAACAGGGGUCCUGUUCUCAGUUCAGUGGUUUGCUGUUAACAUUCACCUCUGUGUUUGACAUGCUCUGGCUGUAUCUCUCAGGAGACAUCUAUAUUUAGAUUAGAUUUGUUGGAAACUUCUCUUUCUGGAGAGGUCUGUAUAGGUAUUGUUUAGUGUAGAAUAUCAGUUGUGCAAUACAAGGUCAACUUCAUAUUGACAGUGCACUUGGAUGCUUAUAUAACUCAGGGGUGGGAUAAUGGCAACAGUAUAUACAUAGGACAUACUGUUUAAGAUGCAUUUAUUUUAAGUUGUGCAUGUUUGUGUAAAGAAUGUCAAUGUCUGCAGAAGCCAGAAGAUGAUGUUACUUUCUGUUUUGCAUGUCUGGAGUUAAGGGUUGGUUGAGUCGUUCACUGUAGGUUGCUGGGAACCAAACUGGGUCUUCUGCAAGAACAGUAUGUACUCUUAACUGCUGAGCCAUCCUUUGAGCUCCUGUAGUUGAUAAUAUUUAGACUUCUUGCUCUAAGCAUUCAUUUGACAACCAUACAAUCAUUUAGGCUAGGUAUGAUAAAAGUCAUUUUUUCUUUUCUUUCUUUUCUUUCUUUCUUUCUUUCUUUCUUUCUUUCUUUCUUUCUUCUUUUUUUUUGCUUUACACAUUUCAUGAAGCUAUACUUGACAAGUGAAAAAUUAUAAUUACAUAGAUUUUUAUAAAAUUUGUAAUCUGCUUUUUAUAUAUGUGUAGCUCAUGAAACAAACUAAGAUAACUACCAUGUUUAUUAUUUCCUAUAAUAUUAAUUCCUAUAAUAUACUUGGUAUGGGGUAAGGGCAUCUAUAAUCUUCUCUCUGAAUUUUCAUGUAUAUAAUACACUAUUAUUAACAAUGGCCACAUUGAAUAGAGAUGACAAGUGUAUACCUCUGUCUAAAUGAAACUUUUUUUCCCCUCAUUCUCCAUUUCCCCUAUCUCACAGCACCCCUGGUACUCAUCGCCUGCAUAUUAUUUCCAAGUUUAGCUUUUUAAUAGUCUAAAUAGUAGCAAAAUUAUGUUUAUUUUAAAAAAUAUGUUUUUCUCUUUCCUUAUGUAAUUCAGGCUAGUCUGAAACCUAUAGUCAUCCUGCCUUAGCCUCCUGAGACCUGGGUUUGUAGGCACGCAUCAUUACUACAAAGAGAGUUUUAUCAGUACACAGCUGUGGCAGUUUGGCUGCGACAGUUUUCAAACUACAGUGACAAUUGAAUACUUGUGACCACAUUUUCCAGAAAGUCAAAAAUAGGAACCCUCUGGAUUUAGAAGAACAAACUUACUGACCCCUGUUGGCAGCACAUCAACAUUUGAGAAUACUGAGACUCUCCCUCAGUAGAAUAUUUCAGGGUGAAUGCUGCUUUGAUAAUUCUGCCUUUAGAUCAUAUCUAAAAAUAGGUUAAGCUCUUCUGGGUGAGGAGAUUAAGAAUAGGACAUUCAUGUUAUUCAUUUUCUUUGGCCAGGAAGCUCCUCCCAUGUUCUUGAAGACCCUCCUUCCUCCUCUCAUUUGGCUCCCCUUUUCUAUCAGCAUCUUUAUGGGGAUGCAUUCUGUAUGCUGCACUGUGUAAAUUAGUCCACUGGUUCACAUGAACAUGCUUGCCUGCUCCAUAUUUCCCACCUCUGUGCUCAGUUUAAGACUUAGAUGGCAGACUUUCUCUGUGUUCAUCCCAUUACAUGUCUGUUUGGCUAGUUUCCUUAAAAUAGCACUUUCACUGUCAUCAUCAGAAACCCCCAGACAACAGAGCAUUGUAGUGAAAAUGGUGGCACCAUUGAACAAACCCAAGUCUCGAUUCCUUAGCACUUGAUUACCCAGGUUAGUGUGAAGAUACUCAGUUCUGUAAACUUCCCAGAUGUCCGUUAAUUCCGUUGUACAAGAGGGAAGACCAUUACCCAAAUUCCUUGGUCAGACUAACCAAGCUCUAUUUUCUGUCAGACAGAGCUAUCUCUCUAAAAUGGGCUUGUGAGUAUAGGAUAUAACACAGGAGAAGAGAGGGGAAAACUACAAGGUUAGGGAGUUUCCAAGGGCCGAGAGAUUUCCGGGAGGAUUGUGAUUUUUGUAGGAGCUUGACGGACAUUUCAAAAUUAUUUGGCAGAACAUCUCAUCAGGAUGGGAAGCAUGUCGAACAGGUUAAAGCAUGGUCAACUUGAACUUUGAAGGAAACAGAAAUGACCUUGUUUUGACCUUGUAACAAAAUGGCUUGCAUCGUUAACAUGGAGUAAGGCUGGUCCAUCGAUGUCUUCAUAGCAGAAAGCAAAAGAAAAUGAACGUUGAAUGUAUAUACGCAGAAGAUACUUCUGCUUUUCUGAAAGAAACUGACUUUUAAAUACUCUACUUAUCCAAGUAUUUUUUAAAAGCUGCUUUUUUAAAAAGAAUUUUUCAUUGAAAAAUAUUUUCCAUAUAGUAUAUUCCAUGCACACUUUCUCCUCUCGUAUCUCCUCCAAAAUCACUGCCCCUCACUUCCCCUUACCCAACUCUAUACCUUCUUCCUCUCUUUCUUUAGAAAACAAAUAGGCAAAUUGAAAAAAGACAAAAGGCCCCUAUACAUAGACAUGUAUUCAGACAGACAGACAGACAUAAACCCCCAAAACAAAGCCCAUAAAACACAAAACAGAAACUCCAAUAGAAAAGUAAUGUUAAAAAGUGCAGAAGCAACUGAAGCCACUUCUUCAUAAAGCCACCUGAAGGACCUUUUACAAAACUUAUAAAGCUGGGGAAAUUUGUUGUCUGUCAGUAUUAGUCCAAGAAGAACAGCGCAGACAUUUUCAGAAUCUGUCUUAAGAAGAAGCCAGGAGUUAAUAAACAAUCUGGAGAACCGAGCAGGUCCAAGUUUUCUGUCUUAAUUAUAGCAUUACGAGUGUGCACUGUAACACUUACAUUACCUUGAUGAAUAUUUUCUCGAGGAGUCCAUAAUGUACAUUUAACAGUAAGCAGAUUGCUAUCACCAACAGUGUCAUUUCUCCUUAGAAACGUAACACAGUUUUGUGAGGAAACGGAUCGAUACAAACACCACACAGCAUCUACGCAUUUUCUGUAGCAUGUGUUUUAAACGCAUUUCUUUAUGGUGUUUCGAAGACACAGCAGAAAGGAAAGCAGCGAAGGUGCUCAGCUCUGUCAAUGUUCGGUGUGUCUGGUCUUCUGUAGAUGGCAGCCAAACUACAGAGAUUCACAAUGUGUUCUUGGAUGCCACACUGAGCAAGCUCAGCUUCCACGGUGGUUGAUUGCUUGUCACUGUCUUCAAAUAAUGAUGAUGGGAAUAUUGAACUCAGGGAAGCGACAGAGCUGCGAUCCAAUGGAAGGGACUAGAGCAAACGAUGCUCGUCAUAUGGCUGCCCACUGGGACAAGUAGGCAAAGGACGUGCAGGGCCUAGGGAAGGUAACAGAACAUCAGAUUCAAGGACAAAAAUAUGAUGUCAUCCGAUGUUGACAGCUAUCACAAGGUUGUGUUUUUAGCUCAGACUUAGAAACCUGGGCCAGUUCAUAUUUGAAGAGGAAUAGAUAUUUGGUAGCAUGUGAACACAGAUUUUGUAUGAGGAAAAAUAUGCAAGCACUAGGAUUCUUUAUGAAAAGCAUCUGAAUGCCCCUAAAAUACAAUUAAAAGUAAAAUCUCACUAAUGUAUCAGUUUCAGAAAACCCCAGUGCAAUGCCAGAUUACACGCAAUCUGGGAUUCCUGCUCUUUAACUAAAAAAUGAUCGUGCUUUAAGAUAAGAAUGUUUGUCUUUUCUGGACCUGGCCAAGCAGGAGACACCAUCAUGGCUGUUGACAUUCGCCACAAGGACUUAAAGGUUCUGUUCAAGGAACCCAAGAGCCAGGACAUCGACAUACAAGCUGUACAGGUUUCUGGCCAGACGGACCAACUCCACUUACAGUAAGGUGCUGAAAAGGUUAUUUAUGAGCCACACUAACUGACCACCUCUGUCCCUGUCCCGAAUGAUCCAAAAGAUGAAGCUUCCUGGCUGGGAGAACAAAACUGCUGUGGUUGUGGGGAUGGUCACAGAUGAUGUGCGGAUUCUGGAAGUGCACAGGCUGAAGGUGUGUGCACUGAGGGGGAGCACCGGGCCUGAAGUCGGAUCCUCAAGGUUGAGGGUAAGAUCCUCACCUUCAACCAGUUGGCCCUUGAGUCUCCCAAGGGACGAGGCACCGAGCUCCUUUCUGGUCCUCGGAACGGUAGAGAGAUGUACUGACACUUUGGCCAGGCCCCAGGAACUCCGCACAGCCACACCAAACCCUAUGUUCGUUCCAAGGAAGUUCGAGCAUGCCAGAGGUUGAAGGGCCAGCUGAGUCUACAGAAACUAAUCCUGGCUUUUACUGUUAAUAAAAAAUAGCUUUGGAUGUUAAAAAAGAAUGUUUACGGCUCAGAUUUAAAAUAAAUUUUUGUUUGUUAGUCUUGAGGAAAACCAAUUCUCUCUCACACACUUAACAGAUACACAUUUAUAGUUUUUGAGAUAGGAUCUUGUCAUGAAGCUCACUCAGGUUUGAGCUCUUGACUCUCUGUCGAGUGUGGUGAUGAUUUGCAUGCAAGGCACACUUUAACUUUUGUUCAGUUUGUUUUAAGACAGGAUCACACUAUGUAGAUUAGGCUGGCCGGGAACUUGUUAUGUAGACGGGAAUGGACUUUUGCACUGUCCUUUCUACCUCUGCCUCCAGAAUGUUGUGAAUACACUUGUGUACUACUACGACCAUCAUGCAAAUUGGCUCUUUCUUUUAAAAUUUAUCUUGUGUUAUGUGUAUGAAUGUUUUACUGGUGUAUAUGUAUGUGCACCACAGUGGUUUACCAACCAUGCUCACAAUCGCAGCAAGGCUGACUUUAAAGGUCAGACUGUUUUUGAUUCUCUACCCAGGUCCUAGUAUUUAUCUUUCACCAGAAGAAUGAAAUUCCCAUCUUUUUUUAAAGAAUGAGAUAUAAAGGAACGCAAACACUGGCCAUUUGGAAAAUAUAGCUGUAUCACAUGAGAAAGUUUUUAUUUUAUUUUUUGAAAAAGAGCAAUAGGAAGUUGGAAGAAGAAAUUAAAUAACAAUGAAUGUUGUUCUGUGGGGAAUGUUACAGGCUUAGGUAGGAAGUUCUCUGAAAAAUGAAAAAGGCAAACAAGAAAUUUCACCCUGCUAAUAUAGGUGUCAUGCUCCGGGCGAUGAAAAUAAAUCACCAGCUCUGAUAUCGAGGGGAAAAAUGCCAAAUAGCUACAAAUGAUCAUAAUAUUUGUUUUAUUUCUACAAUUUGAAAAACAAAGUUUGAGAAAGGGAGGUAGACUAUUGUUUUUGUUGCCCGGCUCCCCUCAGGAGCCAUUAACGGGGAACAAAAAGAUAGAUAUUUGCCCCUGAAUUUUUUCUGUACAGAAAGGAUUGCAACAUUCGUUUAAGAUGGUGGUUCUGGAGCAGGUGAGAUCAGCAGGUAUCUUUCAUGGCAAUUAUAUCUUUCUUCCAAAGCAAGGUGACUGAAAUGGAGUUAAAAGGGUAAGGUUUGAGAAUGCUAGGAUGUGGAAAGAGCAGUGUGUGCGAAUACAUCUGAGCAUGAAGGCCAGAGGUCAGUUCCGGAAAGGUCUGCCUUGCUAUUUUAAACACCGUCUCUUAUUGGGAGUCAAUUAGAUUAGUCUUAUUAGGGAUCACACAGAUUAGCCCAGGCUGGCUUCCCAGCAAGUCCCUGAGAAAGCUACGCCUCUGUACUUCCAACAUUUAGAAUGACAAGCAUAGGCCAAGGUCCGCUUUCCUUAUGGGUGUUAUGUAUGCAUCGCAGAUCCUCAUGGAUUACUUGACCAACUGAGCCAUUGUCCCAGACUCUAAGGAUCCAGUUUGAAAUGACAUAGACUGUGACAACUACUGGCACUGCUGAAUACACAUGAGAAAGCGUUACUUGGUAAUUUGGAUAAUAGCAGGUGGAGAGCUACUGGAAAGAGGAGAGCCCUGACACAGGGUUGAAGGUGCAGCCAAGCUCCACUUGUGAGGCACAGGGUGGAACCCAACAUAAGAUGGUAGGACCCUUGACAUACAAGAGGUACAUGGACACAAAGGUGGCAGUGCGAGUGGACCAGGACUUGAGCCUGAAAUGAUUGAUCUUCCUCUCUGUCCAGUGAUGUGUAUUCUGCAGACUGGCAUCAUGCAUCCAAAAGAGGCGAAUGCUAGCAGCAAGCCAUUGAACUGAGAACAGGAUCCCUACUGGAGGAAUUGGAGAAAGGAUUGAAGGAGCUGAAGGGUUUACAACCCCAUAAGAACAACAAUGCCAACCAACCAGAGCUUCCAGGGACUAAACCACUACCCAGAGACUAUACAUGGACUGACCCAUAGAUCCAACUGCAUAUGUAGCAGAGAAUGGCUAUGUUGGGCACCAAUGGAAGGAGAAGCCCUUGGUCCUUGGUUGGACCCUCCAGUAUAAGGGAAUGGGGG
ensembl:lncRNA